rnacentral:lncRNA from 1 species
GCAGAGACAUGUGGGAAAGAAUGAAACUUCCUUCGUUUCAGAAUUGGGAAGUCGGCUUUGAAGUGUGGGGCUGGGCUUUCUGGAUGCUGUCUUCACCUCCCCCAGACGCGCCCCCAGAUGUUUCCCUCGAGAUACUAAACUUCUUGGGAAAGCAGCAGAAUUCAGUGGGCAGCGAGCUUCUGAGGCUUGCACGUAGGAGCCUCGCUGUCUCUGUUAAAGCCACUUGCAAGGACGAAGCCACAUUGUCCCCAUUUCCUCAUUUCCAAAUGGGCUGAUGGAACCUCAAAAUCCUGGUAUAAUGUGAUUAAAGAAGAAAAGAAUAGAUUUUUUUAAAUGAUGAAGAUGUCACUACAUUGAAUUUACUUUUCCAAGCCAAAUUCUAGAGAGUGCCUUACAGGGGAACAACACCCUCUUUGUUAUAAUUCUGUUUGGGUCGGCUUUCAGCAGGCAAAUGAGAUGGGAGGAGAUUUCAUGGAUGUUUCUUAGUUGAGAAGAGUACAUGAAUGUGAAACCCACAAUAGCAAUAGCAAGGACCAGCACAGGACGAAGCCCGCCGCCGACUGAGUGCCAAGUGUCAUAGUCUGUAGUUUAAUCCCCGCAUCUAACUGUCCUCAUGAGGAGUCACUGGAAAAAUCAGACCUUUUCCCAUAUCACAGACCCAGCAGCAGUUUGGGCGUGCUCUUGCCUGUGUAUAGAAAGCAUGUCAAGACCGAUUAAAUUAUCUAAUUAAAAUAAUGACCACAGAGAGCCUGUUUAUUUUGGCCUGAGGAAGGUCAGCUCCAUGGGCCCCUUCUGUCCUGCUGAGGUCCCUCCCCAGCCACAAGCAUACACAAGACCUAUGAUGACCUGGCUUCUAAUAACCUGCUCCCAGUAAUGUCAGAGUGGGUCUUAUGCCACCAGUGGGGACAGGACUCACUCCAGCUGAGACAAAAGAUCGUUCUUUAAGACUCUCUAGACACCGUCUUUGUAUCUGUAUCUAUAUCCCUCUAGACAUCCAUCUUUGUAUCAGCAUCUGUAUCUGUAUCAGUAUCUGUACUGAUACUGUACUUUGUAUCAAUAUCUGUGUUGAAUCAGUACUUUGUAUCAGUAUCUGUUCACCACAGCAACUUGAAGUGUGAAAAGUUCUGGCAAGGGUUAUUUUUAAUCUACACCAAUAUGGACAAUUGUUUGACUGAGCUGACUACAGUCUUGGGUGCUUUUUGCAUCAUGAAGAUAAAACCUAAGAUCCACAGAGCAUGUUGACCGGUAACAAGUGAAGAAAACGCUGCCAGAAUAUUUUUUACACAGUACUAGGUAAUCAUUUGGACUAAUUUGUCAUGAGAUUAUUGGGCUGUCUUGACAAUGUGCAGGCUCAGCCCAGUGAAGGGCACAUUCCCGG